ACGGGGUGCAGCAGGCGCGAAACCUUCACAAUGCGCGAAAGCGCGAUGAGGGGAUCCCAAGUGCUUGCUCGUAAGAGUAAGCUGUUUUUAUGUCUAAAAAGCAUAGAGAGUAAGGGCUGGGUAAGACGGGUGCCAGCCGCCGCGGUAAUACCUGCAGCUCAAGUGGUGACCACUAUUAUUGGGCCUAAAACGUUCGUAGCCGGUUUGGUAAAUGCCUGGGUAAAUCGUGUAGCUUAACUAUACGAAUUCCGGGUAGACUGCCAAACUUGAGACCGGGAGAAGCUAGAGGUACUCCUGGGGUAGAGGUGAAAUUCUGUAAUCCUGGGGGGACCACCAGUGGCGAAGGCGUCUAGCUAGAACGGGUUUGACGGUGAGGAACGAAGCCCUGGGGCGCAAACCGGAUUAGAUACCCGGGUAGUCCAGGGUGUAAACGCUGCUUGCUUGAUGUUAGUUGGGCUCCGAGCCCAAUUAGUGUCGGAGAGAAGUUGUUAAGCAAGCUGCCUGGGAAGUACGAUCGCAAGGUUGAAACUUAAAGGAAUUGGCGGGGGAGCACAGCAACGGGUGGAGCGUGCGGUUUAAUUGGAUUCAACGCCGGAAAACUCACCGGAGGCGACGGUUACAUGAAGGCCAGGCUGAUGACCUUGCUUGAUUUUCCGAGAGGUGGUGCAUGGCCGCCGUCAGUUCGUACCGUAAGGCGUUCUGUUAAGUCAGAUAACGAACGAGACCCUCAUCUUUAAUUGCUACUAUUAAGUCCGCUUAAUAGGCACAUUAGAGAAACCGCUGGCGAUA
rnacentral:rRNA from 1 species